UUUGAUUUAUAUCUUACAUGUGGAUUGGUUAGGAGUUUAAAUCUGCUGAGCUCUGCAGAUGUGCACAUCAAAGUACAAAUUAUGUCUCAACCUCAAAACAUUUUUUUUUGCAGUCAGUAUAAAAGACUCCAGCAUUUUACUGCAGUUUGUCACAGACCAAUUAGUUCCAUUAAGAAAUUCAUAUUAUACUUUUAUAGUAAUAUACAAAUUCCCUUUGAAUUAUAUAUUCUACCUUAGAUUUUUAAUUGAUGAAACUGGCAAAAGUGGGAAGCCUAAGAAUGAAGUUUUUAUAUGUUUGCACCAUUUUUCUGUUUACAGACUGUGCAUUUACUGCUGCCCAUAUUGACAAUGAAGGAAAGUGUCAAAAGGUACCAGGCAGAUUAGACAAAUUUCCUGGAACCUUUGUACCUCAGUGUGAUGAGAAUGGUGAUUAUCAACCAAAGCAGUGCCAUGGUAGCACUGGGCACUGUUGGUGUUCGACCAAGAAUGGAA